CCUACGGGGGGCAGCAGUGGGGAAUAUUGCACAAUGGGCGGAACCCUGAUGCAGCGACGCCGCGUGGGUGAUGAAGUACUUCGGUUUGUAAAGCGCUGUCAGCAGGGAAGAAAAUGACGGUACCUGACUAAGAAGCCCCGGCGAAUUACGUGCCAGCAGCCGCGGUAAUACGUAGGGGGCAAGCGUUAUCCGGAUUUACUGGGUGGAAAGGUAGCGUAGACGGCGUGCCGAGUCUGAUGUGAAAGCCCGGGGCUCAACCCCGGGAUUGAAGUGGAGACUGGCAUGCUGGAGUGCCGGAGGGGCAAGCGGAAUUCCGAGUGUAGCGGUGAAAUGCGUAGAUAUUAGGAGGAACACCGGUGGCGAAGGCGGCUUGCUGGACGGUAACUGACGUUGAGGCACGAAAGCGUGGGGAGCAAACAGGAUUAGAUACCCCAGUAGUC
rnacentral:rRNA from 1 species